rnacentral:rRNA from 1 species
CCUACGGGGGGCAGCAGUAGGGAAUUUUCGUCAAUGGGCGCAAGCCUGAACGAGCGAUGCCGCGUGAGUGAAGAUGGCCUUCGGGUCGUAAAGCUCUGUUGCGGGGGAAAAAAGGCAGCAUCAGGAAAUGGGUGCUGACUGAUGUUGCCCCGCCAGAAAGUCACGGCUAACUACGUGCCAGCAGCCGCGGUAAUACGUAGGUGGCGAGCGUUAUCCGGAAGGAUGGGGCGUGAAGGGUGCGCCGGCGGUCCUGCAAGUCUGGAGAGAAACGCAUGAGCACAACGCAUGCAUGGCUUUGGAAACUGGAGGACUGGAGAGCAGGAGAGGGCGGUGGAACUCCAUGUGUAGCUGUAAGAUGCGUAGAU